AGAGUUUGAUCAUGGCUCAGGACGAACGCUGGCGGCGUGCUUAAUACAUGCAAGUCGAGCGAGGUUACUGUUUUGGAUCCCUUCGGGGUGAAGAAGCUUUAACCUAGCGGCGGACGGGUGAGUAACGCGUGGGUAACCUACCCCAAAGUCCGGGAUAACAGCGGGAAACCGCUGCUAAUACCGGAUGCCUUUACCUUGGGGCAUCUUGAGGUAAAGAAAGGUAACGCUUUGGGAUGGGCCCGCGUCCCAUUAGCUAGUUGGUGAGGUAACGGCUCACCAAGGCGACGAUGGGUAGCCGGCCUGAGAGGGUGGACGGCCACACUGGGACUGAGACACGGCCCAGACUCCUACGGGAGGCAGCAGUAGGGAAUAUUGCGCAAUGGACGGAAGUCUGACGCAGCGACACCGCGUGAGCGAUGAAGGUCUUCGGAUCGUAAAGCUCUGUCCUUGGGGAAGAAGGUCUUCGGACUUGACGGUACCCAAGAAGAAAGCCCCGGCUAACUACGUGCCAGCAGCCGCGGUAAU
rnacentral:rRNA from 1 species